UAAUUAUGCAAUUGAGAGAAAGAAUUUACCGUAAAUCCCCGAGUAUGAUCCGCAUUAUUCCCCCCAAAUUUAAAGGUCAAAAUCCCUAGUGCGUACUAUAUACGAGGUUAAAAUGAUAUUUUCUAAGCAAUGUCCGACUCUCUAUUUGCU